AAACACUCCCUUUCUACUUCAUUUUACAACUUUAGCCCAUCAUCUUUUGUUUUCUUCUUCCUUUCUGUCUCUCUCUGUUUCCCGUUAAUUUUUCUUUCAGCUUUCUUUUCUCCCACAAAGAGUCAAUUAUGGCUGCCCAUCCAUAUCCGAACUGUGGGAUUGUUCCACAAAAGAUGAUAAUCCUCUUUUCCUUUUCAUUGUUCCCGUUUCUUGGACUAUUCUUCUCUUCGGUGGAAAAAAAGAAGUACAGAAGCAGCUGAAUAGCUUUUAGAAACAGUGGCCAAGAAAUGGGUUGUCCGCCUGCUUCCUCCAACAAUUGGUCAACAAUUUCAGGAUUGGCUUCGCUAAAUUGUGGCUGCUCAUCGGAUUUUUUCGUUAGUCAUUAUCCAUUCCUUUUUAUUCCCCAGCCAUUCUUUUCCUCUUGCUUUGUCUCUUUUUUUCUGUUUGCUGUUCUUUACUUUCCCCCUCCUGUUGUUUCCAGAUCAGUCGGUCAAUCAUUUCAUGAUUUUCUUCCCUAAAUUAUGGCUAUCCAUCCAAUUUUUUUACUUCUGUGCUCUCUAUCAUAUCCCAACCAUGGGAUUGUGGUUUGUCCUUUUGUAUUCAUUUUCAUUUUUCGAUUGAGAAAUUAUUGAGACUCAAAAGAAAAAUCUCUGACAAUUUAUCAGUUUGCAUCUUUAUCCGCUCUGUUCAUGAUGGCUAAUACCAUUGCUAGGGAUAUAGGUUUGUCCUUUUCUUUUCCUUAUUGUUGACCACUUGGCAAAUUAUCUAGAAUGAAGGAAAGUUUGUGCCUUUAUAUUAGGAACAGAAAUACUGGUCACAAAAAACUUCACGCUUCUUCAACCUUGUCAUCUACAACUUUUUGUACUAAAGAAAAACUUCUAAUUAAGCGUCCACAGAUUUCCAGUAUGUAGUUGCUUCAAUUUCAGGUCACUCUCUUCAGUCCUUCAGUUUCUUGUUUUUUCUUUUCCUGUUAAUAAUAUGUACAACUGAUUUUGAAGGAAGGGUUGUCACCACUUUCUGAAUAGAGAUAACCAAGCUAAAACAAGUUAAAUUCUCAGUCUGAAGUGUAAGCUGAGAAUAAAAGAUAAAAAGUCUUACACAUUAAGGUUUUGCCCCAUGUUGAAGGUAUUAUGCACAAAAGUUAGGUAGGCGAUAGAAGAAACAAAAUUUAAAACUGAUAAUCCUAAUAUUGAGUUUCUAGGAUUUGUUGUAGCUGGCUUAGAGGUGUGGUAUAUUAAUUUCUCAAAACUAUUUCUAAAGGCAACGUUCCUGGUUCCACAGAACUCUCAAAUCUUAAAACCACAACAUGUUGGCUGAUCUAUUAAUAUUCACGUAUUCUGGAUACAGUUAGUGAUGCAUAAUCGAUUCUAUGAAUACUAUUACACCCAAUUAAAGAUUAUAGAAUCUAUGGCAGUUUCUCUAAAUCCGAGUAUCUAUAAAGCUGGAACAUUAAAAAAAACACGAGGUUUCCUUGAUGAAAUAUGUUUCUUGAUGAACUUUGAACCAUACAACCUGAUAUUUGCAUGAAAAAAUGCGCAGACCUAAUGAAGCCAGAUUGUCUGGUAAGCAACAGAAGUGUGUUGUUUCAUGGCUUAAAAUGACUGUAGUUUUUGGGUUGUAAGUUCAUUUGGUUUCACUUAUUGACUGAAUAUGGCUGAAAAUGAUUGUACCUCUGCAAUCUUUCCUACUAAAACUAAUCACGCCUUUCUUUUUGUCUAAUUUUUUCCUCUGUCAGUAUUACACUUAUUAGAUAGUUUGUAUAGUUUUACGUUGACUGAUAGGAUUCUUCUGCAUGCUAUUUAGAUUGCCAACUCUGUUCAGCGGUUUAGUUGCGGUAUUCCUCUGUCAACAACUUUUUCCCCAAAUUUUGGCUGGUCUUUUGAUUCACAAAGAUCGUAUUCUAUCUCAUCUCUCAAUCAUGUGAUUAUUGCAAAAAAGACAUUUUUGCAGAUUUGAUCUAUUUUCCAGUUAUGAUGACAGAUAGGCUUCUUAGCAAUUUAGGUCUUUACGUUUUAGGGAAAUCUGGAAUCAGAAAGGGAACAUACAUAUUUAUCACUCCUUAUUUUGUCUUGCAAUCUGAGCUCUUACUAUUGGAAGGAAAUAGGAGCAGCAAAAAAUCCCACCUUGCUCUUCGCUGCUUUUUCUCUGAUGCCUUCUUGGGUAAGACAGAUUUUUUCUUUACUUUUUGUUAAUUUCUUUACAUAACAAAUACCAAUAGUAGAUAAAUAAAGAAACUAAUGUAUACACAUUAUUGAUCAUAGUCUCUUUUUGGAUUUUAUCUUCGUUGACAAGGUUUGUUUCAUUUUUUUAAGUUUUUGAUUAGAUGUUCUUCAUUUUGUUAUUUCUUUUUCUCAUCUUUUUUAUUAAAUGAUGUUCUGAUGUUUGAGUUUUUUUUUUGGUUGGUGGUGUUUGUUUUGGUUGCAAGCAAAUACAGAUGUUCAAACAAGUCAAGUAUGUGAAAUCUCAUAGACUAAUGACUAUCAAGCGUUUGAUGAAAUGUCUAUAUGAAACUUGGGAUAAUUAGUAGAGAACACGUGGAGAGAAAGAUUACACAGAUGCUUAAAAUGUAAUGGGAUGUGUAUGGUGCCUUGAGUAACUUGUGGUUCUUGUGGGCCUAUCAAAUGUGUGACGUGCAUGGGUGGUGGUUCUCUUUUGACUCACAAAGUGGGUAUUAUCAGAUGGAACACUUUCAACUCGGAAGUGAGCGCAACAAGUAGAGCUGCUACAGUUCCUGACGAUGUUUUCCACAGAGUGCAAGACAUCCAGUUGUGCAAUACCCAAGCCUACCAAUGCACUCCUGCUUUUUUUGCCGAUUCAUUCUUCCUCAACAAGUUUUCCUCUGAAGUAACUGCAGAAAGGGCUUCGGUCCCUCAUACUGCAAGGGUUAUAGUGAGAGACAUAUCAUCUCUAUUGUCCCAGUCACUCGUGUGACUAUGGCCCAUCAUAAUUGCUCUUUCAGUUUCUAUAUUAUCAGAAACGGUAGAGAAGUUUAUCUCAAGGACUAUCCGGCUAGGUUCUGUUGGGGCCUGUGCCCAUGCUUUGAGUGGUUGAAAUCAGAAGUUGCUGUUGUUACUCCUGAGGUCCUUCACUUGCUAGAUUGAAAUGAUUUCCAGAGGACAGAUAUUUUAGUUUUUGCUCAAAAUUGGGAAGAUAGAAUCAGUUCAAACAUGUUAAUGGGUUAUGCGUUGAGUGAAUGAGAUAUUGUACGAAUCAAGAUUUUUUUGUGCUCAUGCAAAAAUAGAAGUUAAGCUGGUAACUACAACCAGAAAUGCUAGCACAUAUAAAAUGGUGCAAGUAUUGCAAUGAGUAAAUGGUCCAAUGAGGAUGG